ACGGGAGGCAGCAGUGAGGAAUAUUGGUCAAUGGGCGGAAGCCUGAACCAGCCAAGUCGCGUGAAGGAUGAAGGUAUUAUGUAUUGUAAACUUCUUUAGACGUAGAGAAAUAAGGGGAUCGUGAUCCCUGAUGCUAGUAUACGUAGAAUAAGGAUCGGCUAACUCCGUGCCAGCAGCCGCGGUAAUACGGAGGAUCCGAGCGUUAUCCGGAUUUAUUGGGUUUAAAGGGUGCGCAGGCGGUCGUUUAAGUCAGUGGUCAAAUCGUGAGGCUCAACCUCAUCCCGCCAUUGAUACUGGAUGACUUGAUUUCGGCCGAGGUAGGCGGAAUUCGUCGUGUAGCGGUGAAAUGCAUAGAUAUGACGAAGAACCCCGAUUGCGUAGGCAGCUUACCAGACCGACAAUGACGCUCAUGCACGAAAGUGCGGGGAUCGAACAGGAUUAGAUACCCUGGUA
rnacentral:rRNA from 1 species